CCUGCUCUAACGGGGUGCCGGACUUUGGAAUUCCAAGGCCACCGGCUGAGAGGCGCGACCCGCCAACCCGAAGAACCUGAUCCGGUUAGCACCGGCGGAGGGAUUAGACGCGCCAGUUUC
rnacentral:ncRNA from 2 species